UACCCGCGGCCCGAGUGGUGCUCAUUAUUAUUGAGCCUAAAGCGUCCGUAGCUGGCCGGGCAAAUCUCCGGGUAAAUCGGGCGGCUCAACCGUCCGAAUUCCGGAGACACUGCUCGGCUUGAGAUCGGGAGAGGGAGAAGGUACUCCCUGGGUAGGGGUAAAAUCCUGUAAUCCGGGGGGGACCACCAGUGGCGAAGGCGUUCUCCUAGAACGAAUCUGACAGUGAGGGACGAAGCCCUAGGGCGCAAACGGG
rnacentral:rRNA from 1 species